rnacentral:misc_RNA from 1 species
GGAAGGAUCAUUAACACUAAUUCACACAAACUCAACGAAGCCUUCAGUUGUAGCAGGCAGCGCGAGCUAGCGAAAGCGAAGCAGUGUAGCCUCUGCAGCACCAAAUAUAACUAAUCACGCAAAGGAGCCUUACUAAGCUCAUCACACAAAACCAAAUUCUCAACGAUGGAUAUCUUGGUUCCCAUAACGAUGAAGAACGCAGCGAAGUGCGAUAAGCAGUGCGAAUUGCAGAACCGUGAGUCAUCAGAUUUUUGAACGCAACUGGCGCUGGCUGGAUCUCCGGCCAGCAUGCUUGUUUCAGUGUCUUGUUUUCUCCUCACCCAAAUCAUAAUGCGAGAGAUGCCCUUCUCUUGCCAAACAUGAAAGCACUCUGUGCUCUGCGAGCGGUGUCUCCGAGCUUGCUCGGGUGCCGCACUCAAUGCAGCCGUCACAUUGCUCACAAUGUGAACUCAUUGAGAGCAGAGGCAGUGCAGCGUUGCUGUCAGUGCUUAGCCAAUCAAACUCUCCUUGUAUCUGAAAUCAAGCAGGAUCACCCGCUGAACUUAAGCAUAUCACUAAGCGGAGGAAAAGAAACUAACUAGGAUUGCCUCAGUAACGGCGAGUGAAGCGGCAAGAGCCCAAACUGGAAAUCUUCACACUGCGUGUGACGAAUUGUAAUCUAAAGAUGGUUCGCUCAACGGGCGGGGGCGCAGAAGUGCCAGUGAAUGGGCCGCCAGAGAGGGUGAUAGCCCCGUAUGUGGUGCCACUGCCUAACGAGCGGGUCGUCCAAGAGUCGGGUUGUUUUGUAUUGCAGCCCUAAGUGGGAGAUAAACUUCUUCUAAGGCUAAAUAUAUAUGGGAAACCGAUAGCGAACAAGUACUGUGAAGGAAAGAUGAAAAGAACUUUGAAAAGAGAGUCAAAAGACUUGAAAUCGUUGAGAAGGAAGCGGUAGAAGUUUAUCCUUCGGCGUGGAGCGAAGGCGGUUGCCUAACCAUUGGCGGCUUCCAGCACCGCAAGGGCUGGGGUCGCCACCUGGGGAAGCGGCUCCGUGUUCCGCGUCGUGAGGCAAAAUGGGGUCGCGCAUCCGCAGAGGCUUCUCAUACCUCGCCGCAAGGCAGUAUGGGUGUGCUGGCGGGCUCGCGGCCUGAGGGUGCUUCGUGCGAUUUUGCCAAAAUGGCUUUUACCGACCCGUCUUGAAACACGGACCAAGGAGUCUAGCAUAUAUGCGAGUGUGCUGGUGGAGAAACCAACACGCGUAAUGAAGGUAAGCGAUGCCAAGCGCAAGCGGCAGCAUCGACCGACCAUGAUCCUCCGGUGAAAGGUUUGAGUAAGAGCAUAUCUGUUAGGACCCGAAAGAUGGUGAACUAUGCCUGAGUAGGGUGAAGCCAGGGGAAACUCUGGUGGAGGCUCGUAGCGGUACUGACGUGCAAAUCGUUCGUCAAACUUGGGUAUAGGGGCGAAAGACUAAUCGAACCAUCUAGUAGCUGGUUCCCUC